rnacentral:rRNA from 1 species
GACGGAAGGUGCAAGCGUUGCUCGGAAUCACUGGGCGUAAAGGGUGCGUAGGCGGCUUGGUAAGUUGGGUGUGAAAGCCCCGGGCUCAGCCCGGGAAGGGCACUCGAAACUGCCGAGCUGGAGUGCCGGAGGGAGAGGUGGAAUUCCUGGUGUAGCGGUGAAAUGCGUAGAUAUCAGGAGGAACACCGAUGGCGAAGGCAGCUCGCUGGGACGGUACUGACGCUGAGGCGCGAAAGCGUGGGGGAGCAAACAGG